UACGGAGGGUGCAAGCGUUAUCCGGAUUCACUGGGUUUAAAGGGUGCGUAGGUGGAUUAGUAAGUCAGUGGUGAAAUCUCCGGGCUUAACCCGGAAACUGCCAUUGAUACUAUUAGUCUUGAAUACCGUGGAGGUCAGCGGAAUAUGUCAUGUAGCGGUGAAAUGCUUAGAUAUGGCAUAGAACACCAAUUGCGAAGGCAGCUGGCUACACGAAUAUUGACACUGAUGCACGAAAGCGUGGGGAUCAAACAGG
rnacentral:rRNA from 1 species